CAGUCCAUCAUGAGAUUCGUAACUUUGGUUUUAAUUCCAUAUGAAUUAGAGUUUCGCUUAUGUUUUUGUUUUUGUUUUCUGCGACAGUGAUUAUUGUAUCGAUGUACGGCGCAGCAUUGUACUAUGGCAAUAAACAUGGGCAAGCGUUGGCUGAAUUCCAUGAACAUACGUCAGAGAAAUAUGCUGCAUGGUAUGGAUUUACAUAAUUUGAACAUGAAUGUUGUUGGUUUUGUUUGUAUUUGGUUGGGAUUAUAGAUAGUUAGGCUCAAGUUUAUAUUGGCCUUGAAAACUUCUACCAAUUGUGUACCGGCUUUAGUAUGUUAUCAUUUGGGCCAUUAGGACUUCUGUUUUUCUU